rnacentral:rRNA from 1 species
AUUGAACGCUGGCGGCAGGCCUAACACAUGCCAGUCGAGCGGAUGAAGGGAGCUUGCUCCUGGAUUCAGCGGCGGACGGGUGAGUAAUGCCUAGGAAUCUGCCUGGUAGUGGGGGAUAACGUCCGGAAACGGGCGCUAAUACCGCAUACGUCCUGAGGGAGGAAGUGGGGGAUCUUCGGACCUCACGCUAUCAGAUGAGCCUAGGUCGGAUUAGCUAGUUGGUGGGGUAAAGGCCUACCAAGGCGACGAUCCGUAACUGGUCUGAGAGGAUGAUCAGUCACACUGGAACUGAGACACGGUCCAGACUCCUACGGGAGGCAGCAGUGGGGAAUAUUGGACAAUGGGCGAAAGCCUGAUCCAGCCAUGCCGCGUGUGAGAAGAAGGUCUUCGGAUUGUAAAGCACUUUAAGUUGGGAGGAAGGGCAGUAAGUUAAUACCUUGCUGUUUUGACGUUACCAACAGAAUAAGCACCGGCUAACUUCGUG